CUUGGUCAUUUAGAGGAAGUAAAAGUCGUAACAAGGUCUCCGUAGGUGAACCUGCGGAGGGAUCAUUACAAGAACGCCCGGGCUGCGGCCUGGUUAUUCAUAACCCUUUGUUGUCCGACUCUGUUGCCUCCGGGGCGACCCUGCCUUCGGGCGGGGGCUCCGGGUGGACACUUCAAACUCUUGCGUAACUUUGCAGUCUGAGUAAACUUAAUUAAUAAAUUAAAACUUUUAACAACGGAUCUCUUGGUUCUGGCAUCGAUGAAGAACGCAGCGAAAUGCGAUAAGUAAUGUGAAUUGCAGAAUUCAGUGAAUCAUCGAAUCUUUGAGCGCACAUUGCGCCCCCUGGUAUUCCGGGGGGCAUGCCUGUUCGAGCGUCAUUUCACCACUCAAGCCUCGCUUGGUAUUGGGCAACGCGGUCCGCCGCGUGCCUCAAAUCGUCCGGCUGGGUCUUCUGUCCCCUAAGCGUUGUGGAAACUAUUCGCUAAAGGGUGUUCGGGAGGCUACGCCGUAAAACAACCCCAUUUCUAAGGUUGACCUCGGAUCAGGUAGGGAUACCCGCUGAACUUAGGCAUAUCAAUAAGCGGAGGA
rnacentral:rRNA from 1 species